rnacentral:rRNA from 1 species
UACGAAGGGGACUAGCGUUGCUCGGAAUGACUGGGCGUAAAGGGCGCGUAGGCGGCCUGAUAAGUAGGGGGUGAAAUCCUGCGGCUUAACCGCAGGGCUGCCUUCUAAACUGUCAGGCUUGAGCACAGUAGAGGCAGGUGGAAUUCCCGGUGUAGCGGUGGAAUGCGUAGAGAUCGGGAAGAACAUCAGUGGCGAAGGCAGCCUUCUGGGCCAACACUGACGCUCAUGCACGAAAGCGUGGGGAGCAAACAGG